rnacentral:lncRNA from 1 species
GACUUUGUACAACGCCCUUUGAUAGAUAUUUGUUCUUGAGCUUCUUCGUUUUUGCACCAAAAGACAAGCAGGAUGUCUUGCAGCUGCGGAUCAAGCUGCAACUGCGGCUCAAGCUGCAAGUGCGGGUAAGCUAGCUAGUCAUCACUCUCUUUACCUGGCUAAUCUCUUGUUUACUUAGUUUCUUUUCCUUUGAUUGAAUGAAUUCAAAUCAAAAAGUAUAUAGUUCGUUUGCUGUUCGUUUGUAGCUACUAUAUGUCUCUUCACAACAAACAUGGAAAACAUACAUCUGAACCUGUCCGGCUGAAGAAUAAUUAUUGAACUUCUCUACAACUAGUAUUAUAAGUUUGUUUGUUAAUUUUGGGUCCGUCCGUUGACUACCUGCAGCAAGAAGUACCCCGACCUGGAGGAGAAGAGCACCGCGGCGCAGGCCACCGUCGUCCUGGGUGUCGCCCCGGAGAAGACAGCUGCUGCCGAGUUCGAGGCCGCGGCGGAGUCCGGCGCCGAGACCUCCCACGGCUGCAGCUGCGGUGACAGCUGCAAGUGCAACCCCUGCAACUGCUGAUCGACCGACGACCACACAUGGGGAACGAAGACCGACGAUAUGCAUGCUGCUGCUUAUUUGAUGGUGAUAUCGAUCUUGUGCCGGCGACGUACGGUACUACUAGCUACUACACUACAUGUAGUGCUCUGCAAUUGUGUUAUUGUGUGUGACGUAUGUAACUGAUGGUUGAACAAUAAGGACGAG